UUUGGGAGGAGAUUAAAAAAGCUCUGGGAAUUGUCAAAUAUAUACUGAAAACCUGCAAAUUUACUGUGCUAGAACAGAAUAUGAAAGAUUUAUCACUAAAAUACUGGCCAAAUAAAGAUUGAAUUUCCAUUUUACAAAUAAUGAAGAUACGAUUAUUUCAUCCCAAGAGGUGGUUACUAACUUUCAUGUCCCGCAUAGGGAAAUUUUUACAUAUUUAAGAAUAAAACAUUUUCUAGCCAUUACUAUUUUAA